GACGCCGGCCGCCCCCCCCCCACCCACCCACCACCACCAGGGCCUCGCCCCGUCUCCUCCUAUCCCCUCCAGGGCCUCGCCCCGUCUCCUCCUAUCCCCUCCAGGGCCUCGCCCCGUCGGCCCUUAUCCCCAGCACGGCCUCGCCCCGCCCCCUCCUCUGACCACCGCGGCCUUGCCUCGCCGCCAACCCCGCGGAUCUUCCCUGGAUCGACUCUGCCACCUUCAUCCUACUGCCCCAGAGGAUAUCGAGAUGUGAGCUGGUCGACACAAUUCGGGAGCAGGCAUAUCGAAUUGGAUCGAGAUCCCGUGCGUCAUCAAGUCGCUCUGGGAAGGAGUUCGCAGCUCGCGUACGUGCUCUACAGGAUCAGACUAAUCUCUCUGUCGCCGCUGUUGUUGGCUUGCAAUAGACCAGACUGUUUCAGAGGUACCACAAAGUGGUUGAUUCAAAGUUCGCACUAUUUAUAUCACAGGAUGGUACAAAUGGAGAAGUAAAAAAUAAGGCCUGGAGUUAUACCCAAAUAAUUUAUGCAGCCCAAUGAAGUGUAUCGCCUUGAGCUCCAUUAUUUAGGCCAGAUCUCAUGAGAGGUGUUGUGUCAAUUGCAUUGGCAUACAAUAAGCUGAUGUAUGGUGGUUGCCUUCUUGUACAUGAGCAAGCGACUGCGGGAGAUCACGACUUGUUCUUUUGAUUUUUUUGGUUCAUCACAUGAUCCAUCAAGCCAGCCAAGGGGGAGAUCAGUUAAGAGGUGAAGUAGAAAUUGGAAUCGGAAUAGGAGGCAUAUCUUCAACUGGUUUGAUGCAUGUUGGAAGAGGUCCUGAAAGGGAGUACGUACCCCACUACGCUGAGAUCCGGACAUACUGUCUUCUCAAUGGCUCCUGUUCUGAAACACUUCACGAACCCUGCCUGAACUCAGUGUGCUAUGCAAAUUAUGAUGUACUGUUCGGCAGUAGUCAUAUGUACUGGAGAUGUUGCUGGCUACAGGGGUGAUGACACCGGAGGUAAGGCAGUGCACCGGGUCGAGGACGUCGCUGACACUGGGGGCGAGGGCGGCGUCGUGAGGACGGCGUAUUGAGGAGAGUUAGGGCUGCAAGGCGGGUCGAGGACGUCGCGGAGACCAGGGGCGAGGGUCGCGUGCCGAGGGCGGCCGGGCGGGGCGGAGCGAGGACGGCGGGACGGCGUGCCGACGCGAGGUUCGUGGCGUGGUGGCGUUGAUCGCGGAGAUACGGCAUUAUUCGCUGGAUGGAGUUGUCAUCGUUGGGAUGUGUAGGAGCCUGGACGUGGGAGUCUGCCGGCAGAACAUUUCCUUACAACCGUCGAUCUGUUUGUAUUAUGGUUGAUGAAACGUGGACAGUUGGAUGGUAGUUAGUGGGUAUGAUCGGACGUCUGGGGUAAUUGUGUGUGCACUUUCUUGUGUGGAUGUAGGGGAAGUAACGUUUGGUCUUUUAAUAGUAGUAUAGAAGUAUAGAUGAUAUGAAAAUUAUAAUAAGCUAAUUAAAGAUGGGCAGCACUAGGGAUCAGACUACUGAUCCCUUGCUCCCAUCAGACUAGUGGAGCACCGUAGGAUCAGAAGCCUUGUAGCCGUCCAAUAUUUUAAUAUGGCCCACACAUGGUUUGUUGGUUUGGAUCCUUAAUUAAUUGCUCCGGUUAGUCCUUACACUAAACACGCUGCUACAUAUGCCAACUAUCCUUGCUUCCUAAAUCACUGCUUUCAUUGCUUUCUAAAUCACUACUUCCUGAUUGAACACACGCAUCAACAAAUGGUAGAUUCAUAGUACUUGGCCAUUAGCCAGAAAUUGCUUCCCAUAAAUCACGCCAAAUAUCCUUUAUUAUAAAAGAAAAAUCUGGUAAUUUGUGAUUUGCUUCCAACAAACAAAUAUAAGAAAAAAAUUAGUAUUCGAGAUACUUUUUGUACAUACCAACAUGAUUAGGUGGCAUGGAAGCAUUAUUCUUUCUCGGAAGAAGCAUCGUUUUAUGGUUUGAUGAGAACAUAUUUAUUCCAUAUUU